rnacentral:rRNA from 1 species
UACGUAGGGGGCAAGCGUUGUCCGGAAUCAUUGGGCGUAAAGCGCGUGUAGGCGGUUCGGUAAGUCGGCUGUGAAAGUCCAGGGCUCAACCCUGGGAUGCCGGUCGAUACUGCCGGACUAGAGUUCGGAAGAGGCGAGUGGAAUUCCCGGUGUAGCGGUGAAUGCGCAGAUAUCGGGAGGAACACCAAUGGCGAAAGCGGCUCUCUGGCCCGGAUCUGACGCUGAGG